AGGACUUGACAUGCUGCCCGACUGCCUGUCGGCCGAGGGCGAGCUGCGCUGCCGCCGGCUGCUGGCAGGGGCCACGGCCCGGCUCCGCGCGCGGCCCGCGUCGGCCGCGGUGCUCGUGCCGCUCUGCUCAGUGCGUGGGGUCCCGGCGCUGCUGUACACGCUGCGGUCCAGCCGCCUGACCGGGAGGCACAAGGGCGACGUCAGGUACAGCGGCCGGGAACUCCUAGCCCUUUGCCGGAGGCCACAGGAGCCCGGGGCUGGCAGGGACCUCUGGCAGGGCACUUAGCCCCUUCGAGCCUCGGUUUCCGCCUCCGUAAAAUGGGUCUGGGGAGAGUCCCUCCGCCCAAGGGCUGCGGCGAGAGGUCAGCGAUCCGUGUCCGUCGGCCCCGGUGCACCUGCCCGGGCGCCACGUCCUCGCCGCGUGGGCCCGUCGUACGCGUCCUUGCGCGCACGCCUGGGCCGGGACACCCCUUUGAGCUGUUUCCCGCUUAGAGGGCGGACGCCGCCCCCUGCCGGCGACUACGGAGAGAUUCGAGCCCCGCCCGGCGGGAAUUAAGAACAUCCUGAGGACAAUGUCAGUGUUAUUGGGGCCACCAUAGGCCGAAUUUGGGUAUCUGAGCCCCAGGAUCUUCUUGCCCCUGCUGCAGACCCUCUUAUCCUGCGCUGUCCCGGGACUCUCUUCCUUAUCCCCAUUGCUCAGGGAGGUAAACUGGCCUCCAGAGGUCGCGUGGCUUGCCUGGGGCCUCCCAGUAAACUAGGGGCAGAGGCAGGCGACACUUUGGUGGGCCAGUGGCCCCCCCGCACUGCCGACACCCCGACCUCUCCGUGGCCCCAAGAGUCCAAGGACCAGACUCCUUGUGUCUGUUUAGUUUCCCAGGCGGCAAGUGCGACCCGGCUGACCAAGAUGUGGUGCACACGGCCCUGCGGGAAACCCGGGAGGAGCUGGGCCUGGCAGUGCCCGAGGAGCACGUGUGGGGCCUGCUGCGGCCUGUGUAUGAUCCGCAAAAGGCCACCGUGGUGCCAGUGCUUGCUGGUGUAGGCCCACUGGAUCCCCAGAGCCUCAGGCCCAACUCGGAGGAGGUGAGCUGGGGGAUAUGAGGGGGUUGGGCUGUUCCAGUCCUCUGUCUACCCUCUCUGCCUCCUGCCUGCAGGUAGAUGAGGUGUUUGCACUGCCGCUGGCCCACCUGCUGCAGACGCAGAAUCAGGGCUAUACCCACUUCUGCCGGGGUGGCCACUUCCGCUACACACUACCCGUCUUCCUGCAUGGACCACACCGGGUCUGGGGCCUCACAGCUGUCAUCACCGAGUUUGCCCUGCAGCUGCUGGCACCUGGUACCUACCAGCCCCGCCUGGCCGGCCUGACCUGCUCAGGGGCUGAGGGUCUGGCCCGCCCUAAGCAGCCCCUGGCUUCACCCUGUCAGGCCAGCUCCACUCCAGGACUGAAUAAAGGUCUUUGACAGCUCU
rnacentral:sRNA from 1 species